rnacentral:rRNA from 1 species
AGCUCCAAUAGCGUAUAUUAAAGUUGUUGCAGUUAAAAAGCUCGUAGUUGGAUUUCUGGCAGGAGCGUCCGGUCUCACACUCAGUGCGGGAACUUGGAUGUCUCUGGCCAUCUUUGGGGAUAUCCUGUUUGGCAUUAAGUUGUCGGGCAGGGGACACCCAUCGUUUACUGUGAAAAAAUUAGAGUGUUUAAAGCAGGCUUAUGCCGUUGAAUAUAUUAGCAUGGAAUAAUAAGAUAGGACGUAGGUACUAUUUUGUUGGUUUGCGCACCCACGUAAUGAUUAAUAGAGACAGGCGGGGCUAUUCGUAUUGCAUUGUCAGAGGUGAAAUUCUUGGAUUUCUGCAAGACGAACUACUGCGAAAGCAUUUAGCAAGGAUGUUUUCAUUA